AGCUCCGGUGGCCAAAUUUUUAGAGCGUCCGCCCCGGAUGCGGGAGGUCGUGGGUUCGAUCCCCUUUUGAGUCA